rnacentral:rRNA from 1 species
AACGAACGCUGGCGGCAGGCCUAACACAUGCAAGUCGAGCGAAGCCUUCGGGCUUAGCGGCGGACGGGUGAGUAACGCGUGGGAACGUGCCCUUUGGUACGGAAUAGCCCCGGGAAACUGGGAGUAAUACCGUAUGUGGUCGAGAGACGAAAGAUUUAUCGCCAAAGGAUCGGCCCGCGUUGGAUUAGGUAGUUGGUGGGGUAAUGGCCUACCAAGCCGACGAUCCAUAGCUGGUUUGAGAGGAUGAUCAGCCACACUGGGACUGAGACACGGCCCAGACUCCUACGGGAGGCAGCGGUGGGGAAUCUUAGACAAUGGGGGAAACCCUGAUCUAGCCAUGCCGCGUGAUCGAUGAAGGCCUUAGGGUUGUAAAGAUCUUUCAGUGGGGAAGAUAAUGACGGUAGUCGGAGAAGAAGCCCCGGCUAACUUCGUGCCAGCAGCCGCCGUAAGAC